CAGACGUGGUAAAUAAGUGCCUCGUCUAUAAAAAAACCUCGUGAAUUGCUGGGAACUCUUUACAUGACCUGUUGGCUACAACGCAGCUGGAAACAGCAGACGUGAACGCUCAAAAACAGCAGGUGGAAAAAGACAAUCAGCAGCCAAGCUCCUGUCUCGGAAGAGUGGAGAAGGUUCAACGACCAUCGAAACCACACCUUAGGUGGAAGGGAGUAGAGUAGGAAGUAAGUGCUUCCGAAGUGCGAGGGCACUCAGUAGGGUGUAAGAUAUGGUCUGAACUCUAGGGUGACUUAGAG
rnacentral:ncRNA from 1 species